AUGGAACCAACAAUUCAAUUUUCUUUUUUGCUACCAUCAUAUUUUAGUUUGCUGGAACCAUCAUCAUUAUUUGCUCCCACCGGUGUUUUGGGUUUGUUUGGAAUUUGGAGCAACUGCAAAUUUUGUAAUUUUUGCUUCCACCAGCGUUCUAUUUUGCUGGAACCAGCUUCAUUUUUUGCUACCACCCGAAUUUUUGGUUGCCGAAACAGAACACAAUUUUUGCAAUUUUGCUACCACUGUUUAUAUGAUUUGCUGGAACCAGCGCUAUUUUUGCUGGCAUCGGCAAUCAUAGAAGUUACAUCCUAUGAGAUUUUUUGCUACAACGGCAAGAGUUGGCGAUGGCGGAGCUGCCACUGUCAAUGGAUGGGGUUGCAAGCAGCCAUGGCUGACCCCGGACCCGUUGAUGGUGGGUGCUGCCAGGGGGUCAAACGACAAGGGAGAUUGAUGACGGGGACAAGGGUGUUCAGGACAGGAGGAGAUGCGGUGGUGAGGAGUAGAAAGAGCAGGGGAUGGUGGGGAGAUGCAGCGGUGAUGGCGGCCGACCGCGACAACGCCGGGUGA
rnacentral:rRNA from 1 species